GGGGUUCAGGUCUCGUUGGUGACCAGCGGAGGGAUCA
rnacentral:rRNA from 1 species